rnacentral:rRNA from 1 species
CCUACGGGAGGCAGCAGUGAGGAAUAUUGGUCAAUGGGCGGGAGCCUGAACCAGCCCAGUCGCGUGAGGUAAGACGGUCCUAUGGAUUGUAAACCUCUUUAUGCGGGGAGCAAUGCCGGCCACGUGUGCCCGGAUGGAGAGUACCCGCAGAAUAAGCAUCGGCUAACUCCGUGCCAGCAGCCGCGGUAAUACGGAGGAUGCGGGCUUUAUCCGGAUUUUUUGGGUUUAAAGGGUGCGCAGGCGGAUCUUUAAGUCAGCGGUAAAAUGUCCGGGCUCAACCCGGGCCAGCCGUUGAAACUGGGGAUCUUGAGUGGGCGAGAAGUAUGCGGAAGGCGUGGUGUAGCGGUGAAAUGCAUAGAUAUCACGCAGAACUCCGAUUGCGAAGGCAGCAUACCGGCGCCCGACUGACGCUGAGGCACGAAAGCGUGGGGAUCGAACAGGAUUAGAUACCCGAGUAGUC